rnacentral:sRNA from 1 species
CCAGAAGUACUUGGCACGUUUGGUGGC